UAGAAAACAGACAAAAAUAAUAAUGCUACACAGUCUGUAAACGGGCAAAGGAACUGUACAGUUUAGGGUCUCAGAGACAUGUGUAGUAACAGCCUGGGAAUUUGACUUGAUUACAUUCGAGAGAUCUUUCCAUUAUCACUGCCCUUUCUACAUUCAAGGUAGAAUUUUUUGAGAGAGAGAGAGAGAGCGCAAGAUCAAACUAGGCAUGAAGUGAGCCCUCCUUGUUCAUAGACAUUUUGUUCCCAACAGUGACAAGCAGGUUUGGAUUCGCUGGUCUGCUCCCACUCCCUCCAAGCGUGUUGUUCUUGAAAGAAUAUAGCAUCGAUGGUAGCUGCUGUCAAGUCUUAGAGGGCAGGGCACUCCAGACCUUCUUCAACGGGGCACACUAUUGAGAGCAGGGAUGGGCCUUGAUGGACUUUACAACCACGGCCAUAUACGCACAUCAUCCAGUGAGCAACAAUUAUCCACACCACGCCUGUACUCUGUUACCCACACCACGCCUGUACUCUGUUACUAAGCAACUCCCGGAACAGGCCAGGUAACAACCAGCUGGGCUGGAUGUAUACCAGAUUGAACUCGGACAGAAAACAUUGAGUUCCUGCACAAAUGGAUAGACUCCAAGUAAAGAUUAAUUAAUCAAUAAAUCACAUGUAUGUGUGUUUGUAUGAAUGUGUGUAUGUAUAUAUGUGUAUAUAUAUGUGUAUGUAUGUGUGUAUGUAUGUAUGUGUGUAUGUAUAUAUGUUUGAAUGUAUGUGUGUAUGUAUGUAUGUGUGUAUGUAUGUAUGUGUGUAUGUAUAUAUGUUUGUAUGAAUGUAUGUAUGUAUGUAUGUAUGCCCAUUACAAAAAGAUGCUUAGCCUCCACGCUCUUGGCACUUGAUGAUAUAAAAUUAUAUUUGUUCCCUCGUGAGUUCAGCUAUUGGAAAGCCACAGACAGCAGUUUUAGUUAAGCAAGUAUACCUCUCUGAACCUAGAAAUCCAUGUUUCUCUCCAUUGAUACUGAGACCAGGUAUAAAAAUCACCAGAUUAAAGAGGAAAGGCUCAUUCAUUAAAACACUUACUCUAGUUCAUUCUUAGCUGUUUUUAGCUAAUACUUCCAGGAUUUCCCCAAAGAUGGGGCAUGAUGGCCAGCUACUCUUUAUUGAUUAGCAGACUCAAUUUAGAAUCACCUAGGCAUUCAAGGCGCGCUUCUUUGAGGGCACUCCAUCGGGUUAACUGACGAGAAAAUAGUCAUCCUGAAUGAGUAGGGCACCAGCCCAUGGCCAGAGCUCCAGGAGAAUGAACCAGGUAAGAAUACCCAGAGAGCACUGGCAUUCUCCUUCUCCCUUCCUGCCCGACCCAUGCCUUAGCCUGCUCUGCUCUGCCUGCGUAAUAGGCUGAAGCACCUUUGCCAAAUAACCCUCCCUCCCCUAAGUCGGCUAUGACAGACAUUCUGUUUCAGCAACGAGGAAGCUAAGACAGUGGGAGUUUCCACCCCAGUUUUGGGAAUGCUGAGAAGCAGAAAUCUAGGGAGUUGGCCAAAGGUUUUGACGGCAGAAGAGGCAAAACCAAGUCUGAGUGCAGGUCUGACACUCUACGCAGCGUGCUCCCUGGGAACUCAGCUGCCUUCAGGAAAUUGGAUGCAACUAUUCUGACUCAAUGCUUCACUUGAAUCUAUUUUAUCUCAGGCUUUCUCAACCAUGUGUGAGGUGGCAUAUAUUCUUCUCCAGAGAUUCUUGGGCAUCUAGGGCCACAAAGUCUGUUUGGUUUGACAUUUCAGUAUACUCUCUUGUCGAGUCCCAAAUUUCAAGGUUUACUACCUGGUGGGCCCAUGGGCUCAUGAUCUUUCUUGCUAAAUGAGGUGAGAGAGCAAGGAUGAUGAAAAUAGGUAAUCUUAUUUCUGUCCUGAUCUGCCAUAUCAGUGAACAGCUGCUAAUGUCUGUCUGGCUUUAAUGGCAUGGGCCCUUCCUGGAACUCCACCCACAUUAACUGACUAAUGUUUGCUUGUUUUUCAAGGAAGUUUUUGAGUCAUUUUCCCUGAGUGACAGGUCUUCUCUCCCAUUGCUUUCAUACUCUCUAGACUCUAAAAAGGCUUUUUCACAUGUGUCAUGCUGACAGGACUAAUCACACAUCUAGAACAGGUUGAAAACAAGGUCCCCCCUUAAAGAGUCGCAGACUCUUCCUUCAAGAGUAGAAGGUUGGGGGGUUGGGGAUUUGGCUCAGUGGUAGAGCGCUUGCCUAGGAAGCGCAAGGUCCCGGGUUCGGUCCCCAGCCCCAGAAAAAAAAAAAAGAGUAGAAGGUUGGACAUGCAAACAUGAGGGUCUGAGUUCAUAGCCCUAAACACACAGAAAUUCACACAUGAUAUAGUAUGCACCUGUAAUCCAGGGACUCUGAUGGUGACGUGGGAGGUAGAGACAGGAGAGUCCCCAGAAACUGGAGGGCCAGCUAGCCUGGUGUGCACAUAAGGAAGCAAGAAACCUUAUCUCGGGGUUGGGGAUUUAGCUCAGUGGUAGAGCGCUUGCCUAGCAUGCGCAAGGCCCUGGGUUCAGUCCCCAGCUCCGAAAAAAAAAAAAAAAAAGAAAGAAAAGAAACCUUAUCUCAAACAAGGUCAAAGGAGAAACUGAAAUACAAUGUUGUCUUACACAUACAUGCACAUGCACACACGCAUGCACAAAGAGAGGAGAAAGGAGAGAGAGAGAUAGAUACAGAGAGAGGAGGAAGAGAGGUUUAAUAUUUAUUUUAAAAAAGCCAUAAAGCUAGACAAGGUACCAAAACAAUUCAUUAUGGGUAAGAAUCUUCUUUUCAACAGAUGUCUGAGACACAUGCCAUUGCCUUGAAAGAAUGAAACCGGAACUCCAAUUUAUUAACACAUUCAAAAGUUAGUCCAAAAUUAGUCAUUCACGCGAUAUAGGUGCUGAAAUACAAAGCUCUUAAAAGAAAGUAUAGGAGUGAAUCUUCAUGACCCCUGAUUAAAUGGUGGGUUUUGGGGGUAAGGCACCAAAAGGAAAACCAAAAAACAAACAAACAAGCAAAACAAACAAUCAAACAAAACAGCGAAAUUCAACCAUAAAAAGUAAAGAAUGUCCACGUGUGAUAGCUCAAGCCUUUUCUCCCAGAAUUCAGAAUUCAUGAGGCAGGGCAAGCAGAUCUCUGUGAGUUCAAGUCCAGCCUGGACUAUAUAGUGAGUUCCGGGUCUACACAGUGAGACCCUGUCUCAAAAACAGAAGAUGAAAAUGUCUAUAUUAUCAAGGAUACCUUAAGAAAGUGAAACCGUUGCCCGGCAAUGAUGGUGCACACCUUUGAUCCCAGCACUCAGGCAGAGACAGGCGGAUCUCUGAGUUCAAGGUCAACCUAAGGUACAGAGUCCUGUCUUCUAGGACAGCCAGGACCAUACAGAGAAACCCUGUCUGAAAAAAAAAAAAAAAAGAAAAGAUUAAAAACAUAACUUACCUAGUGAGGAAACUAUCUGUCAAGUCAUUUCUCCAAAACACAUAUUAAAAUUCAACAAUAAAUGACAACCCAAUCACAAAUGGACAAUGCGCUGAAAGAUCUCUCCACAGAAGACGUAAACACAGGAGAAGCACAUUUAAAACAGCAGAUUCCCGGCAUUAGCAGCCGCUAGGAAAACAAAGCGAAACAAGAUACUUCAUUCCAAUUUAGGAUGGAGACCAUAAAGACAAAUUGUACUUACUGACAAGAAUGUGGAGAGGCUGGGGACCUUGGACAUUGCUGGUGGGAGUGAAAAAUGGGGAGGCCACUUGGGAAAAACCUGACAGUUCCCCAAAAUGUUAAAAACAGGACUGAGGCUUUAGUGGAGUGGUAGCAUCUCAAAGUCUCAGGCUCCCUAGCAACAGGAAAGGAAACGAACAAACAAAAUUAAAGCGUUAUCGUUUUGAAUUGCAGGGGAACUAGUGGGUAAAUCAAGGAGUUAGGGAAAACAGGCGUAGUUAGAGGAAGGGGGGCUGGGACCAUCCAUAUGUGUGUGUGUGUGUAUAUAUAUAUAUAUAUAAAAGGAAAGCAUCAGAGUAAAGAAUUAUCAUUAAUAUUAAUAUUAUUAUCAUUAUUAUUAUUAUUAUUAUUAUCAUCAUCAUUUUCAAGACAGGGUUCCUCUGUGUAGCCCUGGCUGUCCUGGAACUUGCUCUGCAGACCAGGCUGGACUCAAACUCAGAACCACACCCAGUUAGUAAAGAACUUUUUAUAACAUAUUUUUGGUCAUAUUCUUUCUCCUCUCCCAACUCCAACUCCUCCCAGACCCACCCAACUUCAUGCUGUGAAGGUGGUUUUUAUUAGGGUUGUCGUGGUUUUCUUUUAAAUUAAUCCCAGUUGAUUGACUUAGUGGCUUUAGAGUUUGUGUCAGAAGAUCUGAUUGACAGGGAUUAGCAGACAAGUUCUCUCCCUACUGGUGACAACCUCUUCCACUUCAUAAUAAAUCUCUGUGCUCAGGUUUUGAAUGGACCACAUUUCUAGGUACCGUUUCAAUAUUUUUUUUUUAAGCAGAGUUCUAGAACUACUGGUUUUGCAUGCUUCCUUGUGAAUAGGUGUCUCCCAAAGUAUAUUCUUGGCUUGGUGUCAGGUAUAUAUAGUCCUAGCCUUGGGAGACACGCAACUCUAUGCCCUUUCUCUCUUUAGAAAGCAACAGCAACAACAACAAAACAAAAACAACAAAACAAAAACAAAAAAAAACAAAAGAAAAACAAUUUUAAAAAAAAAUAAAUUCGCCGGGGUUGGGGAUUUAGCUCAGUGGUAGAGCGCUUACCUAGCAAGCACAAGGCCCUGGGUUCGGUCCCCAGCUCCGAAAAAAAGAAAAGAAAAAAUAAAUAAAUAAAUAAAUAAAUAAAUAAAUAGAUUCACAAACAUACAAAAACACUAUAAAAACACAAAAUUGGAAACCAUAAUAUACAUGCAAAAUACCAGUAAGACUAAAAAAAAAAAAAAAAUGCCCAAACAAAGCAAUAUGGGGCAAAGUCUACUAAUAACCCUGCUGCUUCCCCCCUCUCAACAGCAGGACCCCAUCUAACUUGAACCUGUGCGAGCUACCACAGCCUCGCUGGUUUAUAUGUGGAGUGAUUUCUAUUUAGCAAAUUCAAUAAUCUUCAAUAUCAUCUUAUUAUGUUGUGUGACCUUUCUUUAUUCACACCCUAACUCUCAUAACCUUUUCUGCCACACACAAAACCUCUAAUUUACAUUAUAUUAUAUUAUAAUUCUUAUAUAUAAUCCAUAAUAUAUUUUCAUUUUAAAUAAUCUUUUAACACAAAAUCUUAUUUUGCCAUAUAAAAACUCAUCUCAUCUAAAAGCAUUUCCCUUUUUCAUUAGCCUUCCUUUAUCAACGACAAAUUCCACACCCACGGCUUUAGAUCACUUUCCCUCACACGACGGUGGUUCCUUCUGCCUUUUCCAAGUAUCUUUCUCAUUCUGAAAAAUACCUAUUUCUCAAUAAGACAACUGUAUUUUAAGUGACUGCUCAGAAAACUGCACGUGAAACAAAAGGAAAAAAGUGCACGUGCUUUCCAAAUGCUUAACAACUAUAAACACAGCAAAACUUUACAUUUUAAGACAUAAAGCUAAGUAAUUGUCCAUAAAGGAGAAAUUAUAGAGUGAAAUAAACACGCCAAGACUGCCUAUAAAUCUCAAGAUGUCUUUGCCUUUCAAAUGAUAUUUUCCUUGAGAAUUUCAUACAAUAUAUUUUGGUCACAUCUAUGCUCUGUAUCCCUACCUCCCAGCUCCUUCCAUCCCCCACCCCAGCCCCAGUUGUGUUGCCUAGGUGACGCCUGCCGGCCCGCCUGCCCGGUAGCCUAAUCAACCUGCUCCACUAAAGAAAGCUUGACUCUCCCUCUCCCAGCAGCUCUCACGCGUAGUGGUGGGAUUUUGUGUGUGCGCCCUUGGUCGCCCCUCCACGCUGGGAUUUUAUCUAGCUCGAGCAGGUCACACGCACGCAAUCAUAAGCCCCAUCUCCAUCUCUUACGAUCUUUCCAUCCACUCCUCUGUGAAGGUUUCCCGGGGCUUUGGGUAAAGGGGUGUGACAUGUACAUCCCAUUCAGGGCUGAGCACUCCACAGUCUCUCAUUCUCCAUACAUUUUUCCGUUGAGAAUGUCUUCACUAACUGCCAGGCAGGGAGAAAGGGCUCUGCUGAGGGUUGAAAGAUAUGACUUACAGGUAUACUGGCUACUCUUCCAGAGGUCCUGAGUUCAAUUCCCAGCAACCACGUGGUGACUCACAACCAUCUGUAAAGGGAUCUGAUGCCCUCUUCUAGUGUGUCUGAAGACAGCUACAGUGUACUUAUAUACCAUAAAUAAAUAAUUCUUUAAAACUU